CAUCAUGAAAUUCAAACAGAGGUCAUAUUUACCUACCUGAUUGUCAAAGAAAUGGUUCUGUAUAAUUUUAAGUUAUGUAACGGGUAAAUGACGUGAGUGAUAUGCACGGAUGAAUUGCUUUAGACAUUUUAAUAUUAAUCAAAUUUUUAUCAUAACAAAAUAAACAUUCCAUACACAUAGUCGUUAUGGUAACUAACUAUGAUCUCCAAGUUGUUAUUAUUAAUUUAAUAUUUAUAUAAAGAGACGGAUUGAUUAUCAAAUUUUUAUAUUCAGUCAAAAUUUUACAAAUGAAAAUUCAAAGUUGGACACUUUUUUUUUUUUGCAGAUGGAAUCAAAGACAUGAAAGCAUGGUCUAAUAAUUGGAAAAGUCUUCCUGAAAACCAAAAAAGUACUUAUUGUCAAAGAGCCAAACAAACUGUGCCAAUUAAAACCCACCCAAAGUGUGAAAAAAUGAGGAUCUCUUCUGCUCUAUUAAAACAGUUAGAUGCUCUUCUUCAGAAAAUAUCAGACUGCGACAUUGACAUUGCUGCGGUUGGGUUUUCCAGUGAUAAACUUUUUAUCGCUGGAAAUGGAAAAAUGAAGGAUUAUUUUUCACAAGAAUGUGUCCAAACAUCAAUAGUUAAACACUUCAGUUCUCAAACGUCCGGUCAAGAAUCAAAUGAAUCAAAUCAGGAGAACUCUCAGUUUUACAAGCGAGAGCAAGAGAGCACUUUAACAAGCUUUAUGCUAAAGCUACAAAUUCAAAUCGGAAAUUCCCAUAUAAAUCUGUACAGACUGGUAGAAUAUCUAUAAAGGGACUACCCGUUCCAUUACUUCCACUGGCACAACCAUCCCAUUGUGGAAGAGAGAAGCUUGCACUGAUGUUAUCAGUAGAAGAAAUUAUAGUUGAUCAACCUGCACCCGAACAAUCCGUGGGGGAACCAUUCACCAAUAAACAGAUAACAGCAAUACCAGCUAUUAAAGUUGAUCAACCUGCUCCCGAAAACUCAGCUAAUGAAAUAUGCACCAAUGAACGGAUAACAUCAAUUCCAGGAAACCAAUCAAUCACGAAUGAACCAAUGGCAGCAAUUAUUAAUAGACAGUGGACAGCUGAACAUCAUAAUGAACCACCAGUACCAUCACUCGUAACUAAAACCCUAACACCCUCUAUUUACAUUGAUCAGGAUGGAAAAGUACAAAUUGUAGUAAAGAAAUCUUAACUUUAUACCCGCCUUUAUGUGCUAUAAUAUAUCAGUAAUUAAGUCAGUCAUUAUCUGGUUGUAUAUCUCCAUGUACAAUAGCAUAACAUGUUAGUAAUUAAGUCAGUUACAUGUAUAGUUGUAUAUCUCCAUGUACAGUAGUAUAAUAUGUCAGUAAGUAAAUCAACUGUGAUAUAGUUGAAUAUUUCCAUGUACAGUAGUAUAACAUGUCAGUAAUUAAAUCAGUUCUACUCUAGUUGUGUAUCUCCAUGUACAGUAGUAUAACUCUCGGUGUCAACGCUAGCCUGCGAUAUUUAUUGGAUUAGGAUCCGAAUGGCUGCUCAACUUUCUAUCAUGAUUUAAUUAUGAAAUGGGUAAUUUAGACUAUGUUUUUUAUCGUACCGACAUCAGUAAUGAUGAUCGAGGCUAGGCCGAAAAUUCAAUCGCUAAAAUCUUGGUUCAAAAUGGAUCAAUUCAAAUGAAAGUUUCAGCAAAUUGCAUUUACGUCAGUGAUGGGAUUUUGCCCGUAUAUUCCGGACAUGUUCGACGCUAUUUUCUGAACUUCCAAAAUUGUCCGACCAGGAAUAUGCCCAAUCGGACAUCAAGAUAUGGUAAAUAAUAUUUAAAAUUCCAAAAUUAAUAUAGUGUACUGAGUGUAUAACUACCACUCAACCCGAUUAUCGUUAAUAAUAGGCUGGAUUGAUUAGGUAAUUAAGUGAUUAUCGUGUUAUACCGUCUAUACACCUAGCUUGAUUAACUACUUAAUCUACCAUGAUUGACUGGCUUAAUCUACCAUGAUUGACUGGCUUAAUCUUUUAUCGGUCAAUUCAUCAAUCUAAUCAUAAACAGAUGUCAUGGCUUCCCCUUUGUCGAGCUAUUCAUCAAUCCAAUAAGAGCGAUUAUAAUUUUAAUCACAGUAUGUACCAACCGACAGCAUGUAUAAACUAGUCUUAGAUGUCACAUAUCAUUCGAGUACAUGUAUAUAACACCCAAAUCAAUGGACAGUCAUUUUGUUUACAAUAUCUUUUACGUCUUUUAAGGCUCCAUAUAGAAAUUCUCAUCCACAGUGGCACUUUCCCGCGAUCUCGAUUGCCGAACGAAAAUCGCCUACAAGGCAGAGCUUACGAUGAAGCUAUGAGUCGCGUACGCCAUACGCUGAAGGAAGCUUUUUAUAAGUAGGUACGGAUCGGCAAGCUUUCGUUCUAUCGUAUUACGAAAACACGUAAUUUUAUAGGAAUAUUACUGACAUAAAUUUGAAACGAAAUGAAAUGAAAUGGGGUUUAACGUCCUACUGUUCUGCUCCUAACCUGGGCUAAUGAAGACGGGCAUACGCCAUACAGUUUGCUAUGAGGGGAAUUUUGCUACGGCCUACUCUUGUAUCGAAUUCCAACUGCCAAGGGAUCUUUUACGUGCAUGCCAAUAUGUACACGGGACCUCGGUUUUCCGCCCCAUCCGAACGACUAGACAGAUGUCCUUGUCAGACAUAAAUUUGAACACCCCACGGGAAUUAAAUAGGAAAAAUAACAAGGUGUUCCUAUUUUUUUAUUACGCGCGGUUUUGAAUAUUUUGUUGACAUUUUAUAAAGUAGAAAAUGAUUCUUAUUCCGGAAGGUCUGCAUUCAUUUGCUGCCGUAUUUUUAUUAUUAUUAUUAUUUUUUAUUAUUAUUUAAUACAUUUAUAUAGCGCAUCUUUCACCAAAGUGUUCAGAUGUGCUUAACAAUAACAAAGUAAAAUACAAUUUAUAAUAAAAAGAAGUUCCUAAAAAUUCAAUUUAUAAUAAAAAAGAAGUUCCUAAAUAAAAAAGUAAGAAGAGAAGGACAAUGUAAAAAUGACAUAAAUUUUUUUAAAACUACCCAUAAAACAGUCAAAUGUGUAAAAUCAGUAAAAAGCCUGUUUGAAUAAAUGAGUUUUCAAGUGCGAUUUGAAUGUAAUGAUGGAAGGUGAUUUCCGAAUAAGAUAAGGUAAUUUAUUCCAAAUUAACGGUGCAUAAAAUGAAAAGGCCCUCUCGCCAUAGGAUGCUAGUCUGGCUCGAGGUUGUACUAACUGUAAAUCGUCAUUAGAGGAUCUUGUGUUUCUCACCGAAGUGCGUAUUUGUAUCAAUUCAGAUAAGUAUGGGGGUGCAAACCAUUGAGACAUUUGUAUGUAAUUAACAAUAUUUUAAAAUCAAUUCUGAAUGAUACAGGAAGCCAAUGAAGGGUGUAAAGAAUUGGAGUUAUGUGCUCAUGAUAACCUACACCAGUAACCAGACGUGCUGCGGAAUUUUGCAGUUUUUGUAGUUUUGAAAUUAGCUUAUCCGUAUAAACAACAAAGACACGUAAUGCCUACUAUUGUGAAUUUGAUGCCGAAGCAGGAGUUAUUUUGUAGGAAUGUUACUGAGAUAAAUUUGAUUACCGUACGGGAAUUAAAUAUGAAAAAUAGCGAGGUUCGCCUAUUUUUAUUACGUACGACAUUUGAAUACUUUAUUGACAAGUGAUUGACACGUUCAAUUGCCGUUAUCUAGUUUUUAGCUAUUAUAGUGAGAACUGCCAGCUCUUUAUCUAAUCCCAUAAUGUAUCUUUAAGUCAGUUGUACUCUAGUUGAAUAUGUACAGUAGUAUAAAAUGGCAGUAAUAAAUUAGGGAGGUUGGAUGGCCAAAUGGUUAGCGUGUGCGCGCUGUGUCACAAGGUCUGUCAUUAAGUCAACUGCCAUGGUUUCAAUUCUCCGGUUGUACGUGACAAGGAGUAGCAUCGCCUUUCCAACCUCGUCGGUUUUCUCUGGGUCCUUCGGUUCCUCCCACUGCUAAAGACCCCUAUGCGCAAGCGAAUUAUUGAAAUGAAAUGUUCUUUCUCGCUCAGUAAUAAAUUUAGUUAUUAUCUUGUAGUAUAUCACCAUGUACAAUAGUAUAACAUGUCAGUAAUAAAGUCAUCUUGAUAAUAUGUAGUAAUUAACUCAGUUAUUAUGUAGUGAUAUGUAAACCAGCAUGUUAUUGUUACUUCCAGCUGAUCUUUUUUAUUUCUGUGUAAUAAACAGUGGCGUACAUUUAGUGUAUGAAUUGGUUGAAUUUGUGUAAUAAAAUAUCUUUGUUUACUUAUUUAAAAAUGCAGAUUUUACGUGUGUGUACAAGUCAUUAACAAGAUAAUAAGAAAAACGAAUUGGUAAAUAAUAAGGCGGGGGGGGGGGCACCUUCAGGUGCAAAUUCUCCCUAUACAGAGAAUAGAGUGAACACUGGGGAUCACAUAUUUGUUUGGAUGGUAAUA